rnacentral:rRNA from 1 species
AGCGAACGCUAGCGGCGGGCCUAACACAUGCAAGUCGAGCGGAGGGGCAACCCUCAGCGGCGAACGGGUGAGUAACACGUAGGUAAUGUACCCUCUGGUGGGGAAUAACCGUGGGAAACCAUGGCUAAUACCGCAUAUGUCUUUCGAGAUGAAAGCAGCAAUGCGCCAGAGGAGCAGCCUGCGGCCGAUUAUUUAGUCCUAGUUGGUGAGGUAAUGGCUCACCAAGGGUACGAUCGGUAGCUGGUCUGAGAGGAUGAUCAGCCACACUGGAACUGAGACACGGUCCAGACUCCUACGGGAGGCAGCAGUGGGAAUAUUGCGCAAUGGGCGAAAGCCUGACGCAGCCACGCCGCGUGAGUGAUGAAGGCCUGGUUGUAAGACUCUGUCGGAGGGAAGGAAGGGGACGAACCC